rnacentral:rRNA from 1 species
UUGAACGCUGGCGGCAGGCCUAACACAUGCAAGUCGAGCGCGAAAGUUCUUCGGAAUGAGUAAAGCGGCGGACGGGUGAGUAACGCGUGGGAAUCUGCCUAGUAGUGGGGGACAACAGCCGGAAACGGCUGCUAAUACCGCAUACGCCCUACGGGGGAAAGGGGGGGAUCUUCGGACCUCUCGCUAUUAGAUGAGCCCGCGUCGGAUUAGCUAGUUGGUAGAGUAAAGGCCUACCAAGGCUACGAUCCGUAACUGGUCUGAGAGGAUGAUCAGUCACACUGGAACUGAGACACGGUCCAGACUCCUACGGGAGGCAGCAGUGGGGAAUAUUGGACAAUGGGGGCAACCCUGAUCCAGCCAUGCCGCGUGUGUGAAGAAGGCCUUAGGGUUGUAAAGCACUUUCAGUGGGGAGAAAGGUUUGUCACCUAAUACGUGAUGAAAUUGAUGUUACCCACAGAAGAAGCACCGGCUAACUCCGUGCCAGCCGCCGCCGUAAGAC